GUCGUACGAGAGUUUUUAACUCUAGUGGCGGACGGGUGAGUAACACGUGAGAAUUUACCUUUAGGAGGGGGAUAACAGCGUAUCAAUAGAUAUUACGGAAACGGCUGCUAAUACCCCAUAUGCUUUUGAGUGAAAUAGAUUUAUCUGCCUAAAGAGAAGCUCGCGGCUGAUUAGCUUGUUGGUAAGGUAAUGGCUUACCAAGGCGACGAUCAGUAUCUGGUUUGAGAGGACGAUCAGACACACUGGAACUGAGACACGGUCCAGACUCCUACGGGAGGCAGCAGUGGGGAAUUUUCCGCAAUGGGCGAAAGCCUGACGGAGCAAUACCGCGUGAGGGAAGACGGCCUAUGGGUUGUAAACCUCUUUUUUUCAGGGAGGAAUUCAAUGACGUGUACCUGAGGAAUAAGCAUCGGCUAACUCCGUG
rnacentral:rRNA from 1 species